GCUCCCUCCGCGCCACUCAGACUCCUACGGAGGCGAGCAGUGGGGAAGUCGUUGUCGCAAUGCGCGAAAGCGUGACGCAGCAACGCCGCGUGGGGAGAAGGCUUCGGUUGUAACCCUUCAGUUGGACGAAGCUUCGCCGGUGAAUAGCCGGCUGGAGUGACGGUACCUUCAGAAGA
rnacentral:rRNA from 1 species